rnacentral:rRNA from 1 species
UACCGCAUAAGCACACGUGAUCGCAUGAUCGAGUGUGAAAAACUCCGGUGGUAUGAGAUGGACCCGCGUCUGAUUAGCUAGUUGGUGGGGUAAUGGCCCACCAAGGCGACGAUCAGUAGCCGGCCUGAGAGGGUGAACGGCCACAUUGGGACUGAGACACGGCCCAAACUCCUACGGGAGGCAGCAGUGGGGAAUAUUGCACAAUGGGGGAAACCCUGAUGCAGCGACGCCGCGUGAAGGAUGAAGUAUUUCGGUAUGUAAACUUCUAUCAGCAGGGAAGAAAAUGACGGUACCUGACUAAGAAGCCCCGGCUAACUACGUGCCAGCAGCCGCGGUAAUACGUAGGGGGCAAGCGUUAUCCGGAUUUACUGGGUGUAAAGGGAGCGUAGACGGCAGUGCAAGUCUGAAGUGAAAGCCCGGGGCUCAA